rnacentral:rRNA from 1 species
CUACGGGGCGCACCAGUGAGGAAUAUUGCACAAUGGGGGGAACCCUGAUGCAGCAACGCCGCGUGGAGGAUGACGCAUUUCGGUGUGUAAACUCCUUUUAUAUGUCAAGAAAAUGACGGUAGCAUAUGAAUAAGCACCGGCUAACUCCGUGCCAGCAGCCGCGGUAAUACGGAGGGUGCAAGCGUUACUCGGAAUCACUGGGCGUAAAGGACGCGUAGGCGGGUUGGAAAGUCAGGGGUGAAAUCCUACAGCUUAACUGUAGAACCGCACUUGAAACUUCUAAUCUAGAGUAUGGGAGGGGGAGAUGGAAUUAGUGGUGUAGGGGUAAAAUCCGUGGAUAUCACUAGGAAUACCUAAAGCGAAGGCGAUCUCCUGGAACAUUACUGACGCUAAGGCGUGAAAGCGUGGGGAGCAAACAGGAUUAGAUACCCGUGUAGUC